GACAGCACUGGGUACCUCGAUUCAUCUCUCUUGAGCUCUGGAAAAGAAGGGGUUGGCGAGGUCCCCACCUACGAGCCAAGGCCUGGUUACAUCACAAUCACCUGAGGCCAUUGUUCAGAACUGAUGCUCCCACACUUGACCACAGCUCUCAGUCAGCCUCCUGGGUGGGAGCGUAGUAUGCCUGCUUAGCAAGCAACCCAGGUGAUUCUGCUAAGCCCCUGGUGCAGGUCGGGGCAGCAGGUAAUCAGUCUCUCUGACCAGGCUGAGCUUGCUGCUUCAGUAGCCAGGUAGAGGCCAAGAGAUGCUGCUAAACAUCCUACAUGCCCUGGACAUCCCCACAACGAAGAAUUAUGCAGUCCAACAUGUGAAGUGCUAAGGG